UUAGUUAGCUAUAAAAUUAAGAAAAUUUAUUAUCCAAAGAUACCUAUAAGAUAGAUUUACGCAGUGAAUUUUCUUUUGAUUUUGGAGAACCCAUCUUGUCAGGAAAAGGGACUUCAUGGUAUUAUAUGCUCUAAUGGGCAAUUUGAUCUGCGCUGUUGUUUCCAAUCUGGAAGUUGCAAUAUCCAGUCUCAUGUCAUUUGCUAGAUCAGUUUCUUCGCCCAAUUUCAACCCUCACAUUAAGGGCAUCUAAAAUUUAAGACAACGUCUAAAUGCGGCAGCAAUUUGGGUAUUUCUAAUCCUUACCUGCAUAAUUGUGUAUGGUUGAGUUUUUACCAUAUGCAAAACUGUUUUUGCUCUUCUUGGUCACAAUGAUCAAAGGCUUGAAAUAGUCAUUAUUUCUGCAGGUUAUAUGAUCACAUGUCAUCGUCUGAUGUGAAAACGUGUCUUAGUAUUACUCCCCAGUUUAUCUCUUGCUAAACUUAACACCGCUUCUUGCUUAUGUCAAAACAUAUAUUCAUGACAUGCAAUUCGUUAUUUUAAUAUGGAUAGGUGUCUCAGUUUUCCUGCCCCAG
rnacentral:lncRNA from 1 species